rnacentral:lncRNA from 1 species
UGUCUGUCCAGGCUGGGUCUGUCUCCUGUGGGAUCCCAGCGGCAAGCCGAUGCCUUGAACAUGAACCAUGGGAUGAGCAGGAGGAGCCUUGAAACUUUGAAUGUACCCUACCUGUCCCCGGUGUCUUUGAAGAAUGGAAAGCAGGAAGACCCAGUCCUUGCAUACAGGAGACUGCCCUGUGGUCUGUGUUCCUGGGAUUUACCUGAGUGAACCCUCAUGGAACACGUUCCCAUGAUUCAUGAGAAAAGUACAAGAAGAAACAACAUAGCCGGGCUGAAGAGAUGGCUCAGUGGUUAAGAGUACUGACUUCUCUUCCAGAGGUCCUGAGUUCAAUUCUCAGCAACUACAUGGUGGCUCACAACCAUCUGUAAUGAGAUCUGAUGCCCUCUUCUGCUGUGUCUGAAGACAGCUACAGUGUACUCAUAUACAUUAAAUAAAUAAAUAAAUCUGAAAGAGAGAGAGA